rnacentral:lncRNA from 1 species
AUUAUAAACCUUUCAUAGCAUUUAUGUGUGACUUGCAUGAAUUUAACAGGAAUGUAUGUUUCUGAUUACUGAUUUACUUUGUUUUAUAGGGAGAAAAAAAAAAAACAACAACGACAACAAAGAAAACCUAGACAAACAGCUCCUUUUCACCUUUACUACACAGGUGAGAAUCUCUCAAAGGAAAGGGAGCAAAAUGACUGCAAAGAAAGGAGGGAAGAUUCAUAUUGCUCGCUUCUGAACGCUUCAUUAUAUAUUCAAAUU